rnacentral:rRNA from 1 species
GCUUUGAAGCGUGGACGCCAGUUCGCGUGGAGCCAUCCUUGAAAUACCACCCUGGCAACUUUGAGGUUCUAACUCAGGUCCGUCAUCCGGAUCGAGGACAGUGUAUGGUGGGUAGUUUGACUGGGGCGGUCUCCUCCUAAAGAGUAACGGAGGAGUACGAAGGUGCGCUCAGACCGGUCGGAAAUCGGUCGCAGAGUAUAAAGGCAAAAGCGCGCUUGACUGCGAGACAGACACGUCGAGCAGGUACGAAAGUAGGUCUUAGUGAUCCGGUGGUUCUGUAUGGAAGGGCCAUCGCUCAACGGAUAAAAGGUACUCCGGGGAUAACAGGCUGAUACCGCCCAAGAGUUCAUAUCGACGGCGGUGUUUGGCACCUCGAUGUCGGCUCAUCACAUCCUGGGGCUGAAGCCGGUCCCAAGGGUAUGGCUGUUCGCCAUUUAAAGUGGUACGCGAGCUGGGUUUAGAACGUCGUGAGACAGUUCGGUCCCUAUCUGCCGUGGACGUUUGAGAUUUGAGAGGGGCUGCUCCUAGUACGAGAGGACCGGAGUGGACGAACCUCUGGUGUUCCGGUUGUCACGCCAGUGGCAUUGCCGGGUAGCUAUGUUCGGAAAAGAUAACCGCUGAAAGCAUCUAAGCGGGAAACUUGCCUCAAGAUGAGAUCUCACUGGAGCCUUGAGCUCCCUGAAGGGCCGUCGAAGACUACGACGUUGAUAGGUCGGGUGUGUAAGCGCUGUGAGGCGUUGAGCUAACCGAUACUAAUUGCCCGUGAGGCUUGACCAU